AAAAAAAAAUUCAUUACCGGUCGGGGAGUGUUUGUCGCGCUCUCACGAUGGCUUGGCUCUGUUCAGCCCAGCAGCCUCUUGGGCCAUCUGGAGCCUCGAGCCUCUUUAGUGAGGGAAGUCGGGCCGCAGGUGGUGGGCAAGCAGAGCCUCUGGAUGGACCCUUCCUCAGAAGCUUCGCUAAUUUGCAGAAGCUGGGCAAUGCUCCUUAUUAACAUCUGUCUGUCCGCAUAGUCCGGGCGUCAUUUCACUGUGCUCUUGCUCCCAGUGGGCCUCUAGGCAAGAUGUCCCUGCCCAUCGGGAUGUGCCGUCAAGUAUUCAGCUAUGAUGCCCUAGAGGACCCUGCGCCCAUGACUCCUCCUCCAUCGGACAUGGGCAGCAUCCCCUGGAAGCCAGUGAUUCCAGAGUGCAAGUAUCAGCAUCUUGACCAGACAGAGGAGGGCGCGGCCAGUGUCUCUUCCCUUGCUGGGACUCUAUCACCAGCUACUGACAGUUCAGACAAGGCCCCUGUGGUGAAGGCUAAAGCUAGCUCUGUCAUCAUGAGUUCCCUGAUCACAAAGCAGACACAGGAGAGCAUCCAGCGUUUUGAACAACAGGCAGGACUGAGAGAUGCUGGCUACACACCCCAUAAGGGCCUUACCAUGGAAGAGACCAAGUACCUUCUAGUGGCAGAAGCUAAAGCUGCAGAGUGGAGAGACAGCAAAAAGAAGAGAAGCACCCUGCAUCAGCCCAGUCCACCCCGAGCAGUACCCCUCACACUUCCCCUAAGCAGAAGUCAGAGGCCGGUUCCCAUCUGGCUCCUCCACAGCCUUAUCUGCUCCAAAUCCUCAUACCAUGGAUCCUGGGAGUGGAAAUGAUAGGAACUCAGCAGACAAAUGGAGCCUCUUUGGACCACGACCCCUGCAGAAAUCAGAUUCUGGUUUUGCUAUUCAGGUUUACAAAGGUGCCCCCAAGACCCUCUCCUAUGGAGAUGGGGUGUGCCCAGGCCACACGAGUGGGUGAAGAUCCAGCAACCUUCAAGCCACCAAAGAUGGAUGUCCCAAUGGUAGAAGGAAAGAAGCAACCACUUCGAACCCAUAAUCUCAAACCCCGUGACCUGAAUGUGCUCACACCCACUGGCUUCUAGAAUGCUCUGUCCAGGGUCUGCAACUUCCCUGGGCUCUGACAUAGGAGUGAUGUGGCUAACUGAGGCCUGAGUGAGUGUGCAGAUUGUCCUUGGGUGAGUGAGAAAAAACACUGCUUUCAGGUUGGUGGAAAAUGUCAGUGGUGUAGCGUUGAGGACCUCACUAUUUUUUUUUUUAAAUCAUUUAUCCUAGAGAAGGACUCUGAUCCUUGCUUUCCUAGGUAAAUUAUGCUGGAGUGCUUCCAAUACUAAGGCCUCUUGAUUCUUUUCCCUUGAUCACUAUGAACACUGACAAAUCAAGGUAGAGGUGCCCACCAACCAGCUUGCACAGCAGAGGCCUCCUGACAUGCAUUAGCCUGGACUUCUCGAGAGCUGGGCACAGCUUGUAGGACCCUGGCUUUCUAAGCUGAACCACAGAUUGU